CCCUUAGACGUUCUGGGCCGCACGCGCGCUACACUGACGAAUGCAACGAGCUUAUAACCUUGGCCGAAAGGUCUGGGUAAUCUCCAAAUUUCGUCGUGAUGGGGAUAGAUUAUUGCAAUUAUUAAUCUUCAACGAGGAAUGCCUAGUAAGCGCAAGUCAUCAGCUUGCGUUGAUUACGUCCCUGCCCUUUGUACACACCGCCCGUCGCUCCUACCGAUUGAAUGGUCCGGUGAAGCGUUCGGACCGUGGCCUUUGGACGGUUCGCCGUCUGUUGGCUGCGGGAAGUUCGUUAAACCUUAUCAUUUAGAGGAAGGAGAAGUCGUANCA
rnacentral:rRNA from 1 species